GAUGAAGAACGUAGCGAAAUGCGAUAAGUAAUGUGAAUUCCAGAAUUCAGUGAAUCAUCGAAUCUUUGAACGCACAUUGCGCCCGCCAGUAUUCUGGCGGGCAUGCCUGUUCGGGCGUCAUUUCAACCCUCAGGUCCCCCUUUUCGGAGGGGGAGACACCCUGGUGUUGGGGGACGGCAUCCUGGCCCGCUGUCUCACAGUGUGCCACGCCGCCCCCGAAAUGAAUUGGCGGCCUCGUCGCGUGCCACCCCUGCGUAGUAGCACAACCUCGCAACGGGAGCCCGACGCGGCCACUGCCGUAAAACGCCCAACUUUUACCGAGUUGACCUCGAAUCAGGUAGGAAUACCCGCUGAACUUAAGCAUAUCAAUAAGCGGAGGA
rnacentral:misc_RNA from 1 species